AAAAAACAAAGAGUCGCCACUGUAGACCAAAAGCCAUUGCUCACUAGCAAAGAAAACCAGGUUGUUGCUGAUGAAAAAGUUGUCAAUGUGUCCAGUUGCCUUAUGUCCAAAAGAAAAGGCGAUUUGCACAAGAAGCUGCAGCCCAAGGUGCGGUGGGGUGACCAAGUUGGAAGGGAACUUGUUCUUGUAAUUCAGGAGGAGAAUAUAUAAUGUCACCGCCUUGAACUUCUUGACCAAUUCAAUCUGCUAAGAUUUCCGCAGUUUUCUGAAUUUCUAAAUUUUUCUUCAUAGCUAUGUAGUUAGAAAUUUGGUCGUGUAAUCUUUUUACCAGACUUUUGCUUCCAAACGUGUGGUUUUACUAGUUAAUUGCAG
rnacentral:misc_RNA from 1 species